rnacentral:rRNA from 1 species
UACAGAGGGGGCAAGCGUUGUUCGGAAUUACUGGGCGUAAAGGGCGCGUAGGCGGCCUGCUAAGUCGAACGUGAAAUCCCUGGGCUCAACCCAGGAACUGCGUCCGAUACUGGUUGGCUUGAAUCCGGGAGAGGGAUGUGGAAUUCCAGGUGUAGCGGUGAAAUGCGUAGAUAUCAGGAAGAACACCCGUGGCGAAGGCGGCUCUCUGGGACGGUGACUGACGCUGAGACGCGAAAGCGUGGGGAGCGAACAGG